CCUACGGGUGGCAGCAGUGAGGAAUAUUGGUCAAUGGACGCAAGUCUGAACCAGCCAUGCCGCGUGCAGGAUGACGGCUCUAUGAGUUGUAAACUGCUUUUGUACGAGGGUAAACCCAGACACGCGUGCCUUUCUGCAUGUACCUUACGAAUAAGGAUCGGCUAACUCCGUGCCAGCAGCCGCGGUAAUACGGAGGAUUCAAGCGUUAUCCGGAUUUAUUGGGUUUAAAGGGUGCGUAGGCGGUCGGGUAAGUUAGAUGUGAAAGCCUGAGGCUCAACUGCGGAAUUGCCUCUGAUACUGGUAGGCUAGAGAGUAGUUGCGGUAGGCGGAAUGUGUGGUGUAGCGGUGAAAUGCUUAGAGAUCAUGCAGAACACCGAUUGCGAAGGCAGCUUACUAAGCUACGUCUGACAUUGAGGCACGAAAGCGUGGGGAGCAAACAGGAUUAGAUACCCCAGUAGUC
rnacentral:rRNA from 1 species